rnacentral:rRNA from 1 species
AGUGAACGCUGGCGGUAGGCCUAACACAUGCAAGUCGAACGGCAGCACAGGAGAGCUUGCUCUCUAGGUGGCGAGUGGCGGACGGGUGAGGAAUACAUCGGAAUCUGCCCAGUCGUGGGGGAUAACGUAGGGAAACUUACGCUAAUACCGCAUACGACCUUCUGGUGAAAGAGGGGGAUCGCAAGACCUCUCGCGAUUGGAUGAGCCGAUGUCGGAUUAGCUAGUUAGCGGGGUAAUGGCCCACCAAGGCGACGAUCCGUAGCUGGUCUGAGAGGAUGAUCAGCCACACUGGAAGUGAGACACGGUCAAGACUCCUACGGGAGGCAGCAGUGGGGAAUAUUGGACAAUGGGCGCAAGCCUGAUCCAGCCAUACCGCGUGGGUGAAGAAGGCCUUCGGGUUGUAAAGCCCUUUUGUUGGGAAAGAAAUCUUUCAGGCUAAUACCCUGGGAGGAUGACGGUACCCAAAGAAGAAGCACCGGCUAACUUCGUG